rnacentral:rRNA from 1 species
GAUGAACGCUGGCGGCGUGCCUAAUACAUGCAAGUCGAGCGAACGGACGAGAAGCUUGCUUCUCUGAUGUUAGCGGCGGACGGGUGAGUAACACGUGGAUAACCUACCUAUAAGACUGGGAUAACUUCGGGACACCGGAUCUAAUACCGGAUGAUCUUUUGAACCGCAUUGUUCAAAAGUGAAAGACGGUCUUGCUGUCACUUAUAGAUGGAUCCGCGCUGCAUUAGCUAGUUGGUAAGGUAACGGCUUACCAAGGCAACGAUGCAUAGCCGACCUGAGAGGGUGAUCGGCCACACUGGAACUGAGACACGGUCCAGACUCCUACGGGAGGCAGCAGUAGGGAAUCUUCCGCAAUGGGCGAAAGCCUGACGGAGCAACGCCGCGUGAGUGAUGAAGGUCUUCGGAUCGUAAAACUCUGUUAUUAGGGAAGAACAUAUGUGUAAGUAACUGUGCACAUCUUGACGGUACCUAAUCAGAAAGCCACGGCUAACUACGUG